rnacentral:rRNA from 1 species
UACGAAGGUGGCAAGCGUUGUUCGGAUUUACUGGGCGUACAGGGAGCGUAGGCGGUUGGAUAAGCCCUCCGUGAAAUCUCCAGGCUUAACCUGGAAAGUGCAGAGGGGACUGUUCAGCUAGAGGAUGGGAGAGGAGCGCGGAAUUCCCGGUGUAGCGGUGAAAUGCGUAGAGAUCGGGAGGAAGCCGGUGGCGAAGGCGGGCUCUGG